rnacentral:rRNA from 1 species
AUGAAGAUCAUGAGCUUCCCCAUAAUGAAAUCGCUAGUAGUCGCGAAUAUCUCCUUCUUCCCUAAUCCAAGAUUGGAGAAAGAAGAUCUAAGAGGGACCUAUGGAGAAUGUUGUAAAUCCAUAAUAGAUUCUAACCACAACGACCGAAUUAAUUAUCCUCAUCGAGAACUUAGACUACUAAAUAUAAAAGAUUUCAAAAUCAUGGCAUGGGUCUCCUUUUUUUCUUUCUUUAGAGUUUUUUAUAUGCACAAUUUCUCGAUGUUUCGAUGA